GAUGAAAAACGUAGCGAAAUGCGAUACGUAAUGUGAAUUGCAGAAUUCAGUGAAUCAUCGAAUCUUUGAACGCACAUUGCGCCUGCCAGCACUCUGGCAGGCAUGCCUGUUCGAGCGUCAUUUCAACCAUCAAGCCCUAGGCUUGCGUUGGAGCCCUGCGGCUGCCGCAGGCCCCUAAAAGCAGUGGCGGGCUCGCUAUCACACCGAGUGCAGUAGAUUACUCUUCGCUCAGGGCGUGUGGCGGGUUCCAGCCGUGAAACCCCCUACUUCUCAAGGUUGACCUCGGAUCAGGUAGGAAUACCCGCUGAACUUAAGCAUAUCAAUAAGCGGAGGA
rnacentral:misc_RNA from 1 species